AAAGAAGGGUACCUACAAUACAACUAUUCUAUCCUAUUUAUAAAUAUAACAAUUGAUGAAACCUCUUAAGAACAGUUCCGGUUUCCCUGUUUUCCUGACUUACAUCUGGCGGUCAUUCUAUAUAUGCUCCUGUCUUGCAUUUUAAAGAGAACUGAAGGCGCCGCGGGAAGAAGUUAGAGGCCAGACAGAGAGUAGAAAGUGGUGGUCGUCGCCGGCGGUCCGUUAGUUCAUAGGCUAGAGAGCCACCGCCACCGGCGGUGUGCGUCGGUCCAAUUCCACCUCAUCCCGUCCUUUUACAGUAAAUAACGCCGUUAGGUAACGUCAGUUCGUGGUCUUCACAUCAGAUACCCUGAUCCAAUUCCACUGCCUCCUGUCCUCCACUUCCUCUCUCUUCUCUCUGUUAAGAAACGCGCUCCCUUCAAUUUCGAUUCCGUCCAACCCUCAGCGGAAUCCACGCUUGAUGCUUGUCGUCUGAACUUAGGCUCUGACAUGUACGUUUCAGCAAUUAGGACUCAGAUUUCAAUUAGUUAUGGAUUGCAUGUACGAAUCGAUAUGCACUUUGGGUCUCACUUGGGUUGAUUGUAGAUUCUGCAAGUGUCUUUGCUUUUCAUCUAAGAUUCACCUUGGCAACGGAUAGGAGGUAUAAGGAAGACAAGAGAGAAACACGAGUAAAAGGGAAAAAGGGGCCGGCCGCCAAUCUUUAUGCAGAGGCGCGCUGGCAAUGACAUCACAAUCCGGACCGUACACUAUGACAACUCGCUGACCAGAGGACGAGGGUUCUAUUAGUGAUGUCGGUUCGUUCGGUGGUACAAGCGACAAUGGUUCUAUUCCCAUGGUCCAGGUGUUGUACGAGGUUGACUGCCUGCGGAAACUGGAAUGAGAGUUUUGGUCGGUUACCGUAUACCAUAGCCGAUCUGGCUUGAAGACGAUGUCACCUGCGACAUGCAACGACCGCACAGUUAUGGUACACAACGACGGCGGCGACUGUUGUUGAUUUCCCACGACAUCUCAAGCCGAUCUAGCCAAACCAGGUGACGGACAACCAGGUGACGAACAAGGUUAAUAGUUAAGGGAUGAUGGAAUGAAGAUAUGACAAAAUGCACCUGAUUGGCUAAUUAAUCUAUUUAUUUUCUUCAUUAAUUAAUCCUGGUGAAAUAAUAAAUGUGGAUUAGUUGAUCAUAUGAUGCAUUCCCGCUUCAAGUCAAUAAAGUUAGACGUUUGAAUGAAAUUA